rnacentral:rRNA from 1 species
UUUUGUAUAAUGGGUCAGCGACUUAUAUUCUGUAGCAAGGUUAACCGUAUAGGGGAGCCGCAGGGAAACCGAGUCUUAACUGGGCGUUAAGUUGCAGGGUAUAGACCCGAAACCCGGUGAUCUAGCCAUGGGCAGGUUGAAGGUUGGGUAACACUAACUGGAGGACCGAACCGACUAAUGUUGAAAAAUUAGCGGAUGACUUGUGGCUGGGGGUGAAAGGCCAAUCAAACCGGGAGAUAGCUGGUUCUCCCCGAAAGCUAUUUAGGUAGCGCCUCGUGAACUCAUCUUCGGGGGUAGAGCACUGUUUCGGCUAGGGGGUCAUCCCGACUUACCAACCCGAUGCAAACUACGAAUACCGAAGAAUGUUAUCACGGGAGACACACGGCGGGUGCUAACGUCCGUCGUGAAGAGGGAAACAACCCAGACCGCCAGCUAAGGUCCCAAAGUCAUGGUUAAGUGGGAAACGAUGUGGGAAGGCACAGACAGCCAGGAUGUUGGCUUAGAAGCAGCCAUCAUUUAAAGAAAGCGUAAUAGCUCACUGGUCGAGUCGGCCUGCGCGGAAGAUGUAACGGGGCUAAACCAUG